UACGGGAGGCAGCAGUGGGGAAUAUUGCACAAUGGGCGAAAGCCUGAUGCAGCUAUGCCGCGUGUAUGAAGAAGGCCUUAGGGUUGUAAAGUACUUUCAUCGGGGAGGAAAAAACAAAACUAAUAAUUUUAUUUCUUGACGUUACCCGAAAAAGAAGCACCGGCUAACUCCGUGCCAGCAGCCGCGGUAAUACGGAGGGUGCUAGCGUUAAUCAGAAUUACUGGGCGUAAAGAGCACGUAGGUGGUUUUUUUAAGUCAGAUGUGAAAUCCCUGGGCUUAACCUAGGAACUGCAUUUUGAAACUGAAAUAACUAGAGUAUCGUAGAGGGAGGUAGAAUUCUAGGUGUAGCGGUGAAAUGCGUAGAUAUCUGGAGGAAUACCUGUGGCGAAAGCGGCCUCCUAAACGAAUACUGACACUGAGGUGCGAAAGCGUGGGGAGCAAACAGGGAUUAGAUACC
rnacentral:rRNA from 1 species